UCCACCUCUACUAUCUCACCGAUACUGACAAAGUCUGGAGGACAGUAGGCACAGCAUAGAUGCUCAUAAAGCUUUCUGUCACAAGAGAUAAGGAAUGAGAAAGUACCUAUUCUCCCUGCUUAUUCCUUUGGAGCUGGUUAGGAAAGGGACAUUAAGUCAUAUAUCCUAAAAUGAUUGUUUCUGUGCUGACAAUGUUACCAGCAAUGUAGAUUUUGGUUCUUCUAUAAUGUGAUCUUGCUCUUGUUUUAGGAAAAACAACGCUUGGCGAUUUUUAUUCUUUUUUUCAGCUGUCUCCUCAGUGAAACUGCUGCCUAUGCUAAUUUUGCAGGUUCAUAAAGCCCUGGGACGGCCUAGAAGAACUGGCUGCUGAACUAUGAGUUAGGUUCAGGAUGAAGAUGAUGCUUGGACUGUAACUUCCAGAAUUUGUCAUUGAAGCAAACAGUUUCAGAAGAUGCAUAAGGAGAACACACAGAACAAUGGUGCAAACUUUCCAGUCAAAAUUGGAAAGCAAAACAGGGAUUAGUUCUCAGCAACAAAAAUGUAAAGAAAUGGAGUGGAACCCUGAGGAGCAGAUGGAGCUGGGAGAGAUGCAUGGAUAUAUCUACAUUGAGAAACCCCUUGGAAUAUCUUUGCUGUUAGGACAGAGUUGUCUUUGCUGUUGUAGGUUGCCAGAUGUUUAGAGGGGAGGCAGGU
rnacentral:lncRNA from 1 species